GGGGAGGCCGGAUCCUGGGCUGUGUCCCGGCGCCCUGUGCUCCGGGGCCUGCGCUGUUGGAUUCGCGCUCCCGCCCCGCAGCCCCCU
rfam:Canis lupus familiaris chromosome 7, whole genome shotgun sequence.